AACGAACGCUGGCGGCGUGGAUAAGACAUGCAAGUCGAACGAGAUCUCUUUCUGUAGCAAUACAGAAAGAAGUCUAGUGGCGAACGGGUGCGUAACACGUGGGCAAUCUGCCGAGAAGUGGGGGAGUAGCUCGCCGAAAGGACGAAUUAAUACCGCAUGUGAUCAUCCCGCGAUUGCGGGAGAAAUACAAAGGUGCCGCAAGGUACCGUCUUUUGUAGGAGCCCGCCGGCCUAUCAGCUUGUUGGUGAGGUAACGGCUCACCAAGG
rnacentral:rRNA from 1 species